rnacentral:tRNA from 1 species
GCGGGUAUCGUAUAAUGGCUAUUAUAUUACCUUGCCAAGGUAGAGAUACGGGUUCGAUUCCCGUUACCCGCU